rnacentral:rRNA from 1 species
ACGGAAGGCAGCAGUGGGGAAUAUUGCACAAUGGGGGAAACCCUGAUGCAGCGACGCCGCGUGAGUGAUGAAGUAUUUCGGUAUGUAAAGCUCUAUCAGCAGGGAAGAUAAUGACGGUACCUGACUAAGAAGCACCGGCUAAAUACGUGCCAGCAGCCGCGGUAAUACGUAUGGUGCAAGCGUUAUCCGGAUUUACUGGGUGUAAAGGGUGCGUAGGUGGUGAGACAAGUCUGAAGUGAAAAUCCGGGGCUCAACCCCGGAACUGCUUUGGAAACUGCCUGACUAGAGUACAGGAGAGGUAAGUGGAAUUCCUAGUGUAGCGGUGAAAUGCGUAGAUAUUAGGAGGAACACCAGUGGCGAAGGCGACUUACUGGACUGCUACUGACACUGAGGCACGAAAGCGUGGGGAGCAAACAGGAUUAGAUACCCUGGUA